GAUGAACGCUGGCGGCGUGCCUAAUACAUGCAAGUCGAGCGAACAGACGAGGAGCUUGCUCCUCUGACGUUAGCGGCGGACGGGUGAGUAACACGUGGAUAACCUACCUAUAAGACUGGGAUAACUUCGGGAACCGGAGCUAAUACCGGAUAAUAUAUUGAACCGCAUGGUUCAAUAGUGAAAGACGGUUUUGCUGUCACUUAUAGAUGGAUCCGCGCCGCAUUAGCUAGUUGGUAAGGUAACGGCUUACCAAGGCAACGAUGCGUAGCCGACCUGAGAGGGUGAUCGGCCACACUGGAACUGAGACACGGUCCAGACUCCUACGGGAGGCAGCAGUAGGGAAUCUUCCGCAAUGGGCGAAAGCCUGACGGAGCAACGCCGCAUGAGUGAUGAAGGUCUUCGGAUCGUAAAACUCUGUUAUUAGGGAAGAACAAAUGUGUAAGUAACUAUGCACGUCUUGACGGUACCUAAUCAGAAAGCCACGGCUAACUACGUG
rnacentral:rRNA from 1 species